rnacentral:rRNA from 1 species
AGUCGAACGAUGAACCUCNGAGCUUGCUCUAGGGGAUUAGUGGCGAACGGGUGAGUAACACGUGAGUAACCUGCCCUUGACUCUGGGAUAACCUCCGGAAACGGAAGCUAAUACCGGAUAUGACGUACGGAGGCAUCUCCUGUACGUGGAAAGAAUUUCGGUCAAGGAUGGACUCGCGGCCUAUCAGGUAGUUGGUGAGGUAACGGCCCACCAAGCCUACGACGGGUAGCCGGCCUGAGAGGGUGACCGGCCACACUGGGACUGAGACACGGCCCAGACUCCUACGGGAGGCAGCAGUGGGGAAUAUUGCACAAUGGGCGCAAGCCUGAUGCAGCAACGCCGCGUGAGGGAUGACGGCCUUCGGGUUGUAAACCUCUUUUAGUAGGGAAGAAGCGAAAGUGACGGUACCUGCAGAAAAAGCACCGGCUAACUACGUGCCAGCAGCCGCGGUAAUACGUAGGGUGCGAGCGUUGUCCGGAAUUAUUGGGCGUAAAGAGCUCGUAGGCGGUCUGUCGCGUCUGCUGUGAAAACCCGAGGCUCAACCUCGGGCCUGCAGUGGGUACGGGCAGACUAGAGUGCGGUAGGGGAGAAUGGAAUUCCUGGUGUAGCGGUGGAAUGCGCAGAUAUCAGGAGGAACACCGAUGGCGAAGGCAGUUCUCUGGGCCGUAACUGACGCUGAGGAGCGAAAGCGUGGGGAGCGAACAGGAUUAGAUACCCUGGUAGUCCACGCCGUAAACGUUGGGCGCUAGAUGUGGGGACCAUUCCACGGUUUCCGUGUCGCAGCUAACGCAUUAAGCGCCCCGCCUGGGGAGUACGGCCGCAAGGCUAAAACUCAAAGGAAUUGACGGGGGCCCGCACAAGCGGCGGAGCAUGCGGAUUAAUUCGAUGCAACGCGAAGAACCUUACCAAGGCUUGACAUAUACGAGAACGGGCCAGAAAUGGUCAACUCUUUGGACACUCGUAAACAGGUGGUGCAUGGUUGUCGUCAGCUCGUGUCGUGAGAUGUUGGGUUAAGUCCCGCAACGAGCGCAACCCUCGUUCUAUGUUGCCAGCACGUAAUGGUGGGAACUCAUAGGAGACUGCCGGGGUCAACUCGGAGGAAGGUGGGGAUGACGUCAAAUCAUCAUGCCCCUUAUGUCUUGGGCUUCACGCAUGCUACAAUGGCCGGUACAAAGGGCUGCAAUACCGUAAGGUGGAGCGAAUCCCAAAAAGCCGGUCUCAGUUCGGAUUGAGGUCUGCAACUCGACCUCAUGAAGUCGGAGUCGCUAGUAAUCGCAGAUCAGCAACGCUGCGGUGAAUACGUUCCCGGGCCUUGUACACACCGCCCGUCAAGUCAUGAAAGUCGGUAACACCCGAAGCCG